AUUGAACGCUGGCGGAAUGCUUUACACAUGCAAGUCGAACGGCAGCACGGGUGCUUGCACCUGGUGGCGAGUGGCGAACGGGUGAGUAGUACAUCGGAACGUACCCAGUUGUGGGGGAUAACUAACCGAAAGGUUAGCUAAUACCGCAUACGACCUGAGGGUGAAAGCGGGGGACCGUAAGGCCUCGCGCAAUUGGAGCGGCCGAUGUCUGAUUAGCUAGUUGGUAGGGUAAAGGCCUACCAAGGCGACGAUCAGUAGCUGGUCUGAGAGGAUGAUCAGCCACACUGGAACUGAGACACGGUCCAGACUCCUACGGGAGGCAGCAGUGGGGAAGUUUGGACAAUGGGCGAAAGCCUGAUCCAGCCAUUCCGCGUGAGUGAAGAAGGCCUUCGGGUUGUAAAGCUCUUUCGGCAGGGAAGAAACGGCCUAGGUUAAUACCUUGGGCUAAUGACGGUACCUGAAGAAGAAGCACCGGCUAACUACGUGCCAGCAGCCGCCGCGG
rnacentral:rRNA from 1 species